rnacentral:rRNA from 1 species
GACGAACGCUGGCGGCGCGCUUAACACAUGCAAGUCGAGCGAGAACCCAGGCUUCGGCCUGGGCGAAAGCGGCGAACGGGUGAGUAACACGUGGGUAAUCUGCCCUCGGCAUCGGGAUAGCCCGGGGAAACCCGGAUUAAUACCGGAUGGCCCGACAGCUCUUCGGAGCGGUCGGAAAAGGUAGCUUCGGCCUCCGGCCGAGGAGGAGCCCGCGGCGGAUUAGCUUGUUGGUGAGGUAACGGCUCACCAAGGCUCCGAUCCGUAGCUGGUCUGCGAGGACAAUCAGCCACACUGGGACUGAGACACGGCCCAGACUCCUACGGGAGGCAGCAGUGGGGAAUCUUGCGCAAUGGGCGAAAGCCUGACGCAGCGACGCCGCGUGAGGGAAGAAGGCCUUCGGGUUGUAAACCUCUUUCAGGAGGGACGAAGCCACUCGGGUUAAUAGCCCAGAGGGUGACGGUACCUCCAGAAGAAGCCCCGGCUAACUACGUGCCAGCCGCCGCCGUAA